AAACCAACAGGGAUUGCCUCAGUAACGGCGAGUGAAGCGGCAAAAGCUCAAAUUUGAAAUCUGGUAGUUUCACUAUCCGAAUUGUAAUUUGAAGAGAUAACUUUGGAAUUGGCUCUUGUCUAUGUUCCUUGGAACAGGACGUCACAGAGGGUGAGAAUCCCGUGCGAUGAGAUGACCAAUUCUAUGUAAAGUAUUCUCGACGAGUCGAGUUGUUUGGGAAUGCAGCUCUAAGUGGGUGGUAAAUUCCAUCUAAAGCUAAAUAUUGGCGAGAGACCGAUAGCGAACAAGUACAGUGAUGGAAAGAUGAAAAGAACUUUGAAAAGAGAGUGAAAAAGUACGUGAAAUUGUUGAAAGGGAAGGGCUUGAGAUCAGACUUGGUAUUGAUUUUAUCUUUACUGGGCCAGCAUCGGUUUGUACGGUGAGAUAAGACUUAUUGGAAAGUAGCUCAUCUUUUUGAGUGUUAUAGCCUUUAGUGAUGUCACCAGUAUAGACCGAGGACUGCGAUUUUAUAUCAAGGAUGUUGGCAUAAUGAUCUUAAGCCGC
rnacentral:rRNA from 1 species